rnacentral:rRNA from 1 species
GAUGAACGCUGGCGGCGUGCCUAAUACAUGCAAGUCGAGCGAAUGGAUUAAGAGCUUGCUCUUAUGAAGUUAGCGGCGGACGGGUGAGUAACACGUGGGUAACCUGCCCAUAAGACUGGGAUAACUCCGGGAAACCGGGGCUAAUACCGGAUAACAUUUUGAACCGCAUGGUUAGAAAUUGAAAGGCGGCUUCGUCUGUCACUUAUGGCUGGACCCGCGUCGCAUUAGCUAGUUGGUGAGGUAUCGGCUCACAAAGGCAACGAUGCGUAGCCGACCUGAGAGGGUGAUCGGCCACACUGGGACUGAGACACGGCCCAGACUCCUACGGGAGGCAGCAGUAGGGAAUCUUCCGCAAUGGACGAAAGUCUGACGGAGCAACGCCGCGUGAGUGAUGAAGGCUUUCGGGUCGUAAAACUCUGUUGUUAGGGAAGAACAAGUGCUAGUUGAAUAAGCUGACACCUUGACGGUACCUAACCAGAAAGCCACGGCUAACUACGUGCCAGCCGCCGCGGUAA